GGCAUCUCUGAGAAGCUUCUUGGUGGCAUGUGGACCUUUGGGGGUGAUGAAUUAGAACCCAUAUCAUUGUCAUCAAUUCUUGCACUCACUGCUACUCACUCAUUACUAUAGUGUGUCUACUCUAAAGUGGCUCCUGGGUUUUGGUUGGAAAGGUGUCUCAGGGAAAGCGUGGCUGUCAGAUCUUGAGGGAAACCAUGAGCUGUCCUUGUAAUAAGUGCAUUGAUCAACAGAAAACAGGUAUUAUUCACAUCAAUAAGCUACGUGUUUAAAAUCCAGAGCCAUUUUACAGUAGACAGACUAUAACACACAGCAGGAUAAAGGUUCCUCUUCAUCUGCUUACUUAAAACCAUCUCCUUUGCUUAACUGGCUUUUAUCACUGAAUUCCUUCUUUAUUCUUUCCUAGAACUCAUUCACACACAAAACAUGGUGAUCAGGAACAGGGUAAUAUGACACAUAAAACUUCUUAAUUACUGAUUGCAACACCCUCAAUGUUCAUAUUUUUCUUUAGGUCCUGAACUCUAUCUGGUGCAGUAUCAGUCACGUCACAGGACCGGCAAUGAUAGAGACAAGUGGUGGUGACAGGUACUCCACUGCAAGGUGUGAAUGGAACGGAUAAGAUCUUGCAAGAACACCAAAUGAAUGGAAUACUAUAUCAUGAAUGUGGAAUGCUGAUAAUGAACAGGAUGUGGGGAAAUACACCAUGACUCAAGACCUCAAUGAUGCAGUGAUGAGUGUGCGGUACUUUGGCUCAUAUUGUCAUCCACUUCUGUGCUUCACCUCCACUAUUUCAAAAGGCUUUAUCUAAAUUUACACAAGUUUUUUUUAACCCCUUCAGUAUCGUGCCACGCUUUCAUAUACAUUCUGGUUAAUAUUUAGCGAUUUUAUACGAUUUCAAAAACUUAUGUGGGGAUUAGAAUAGUAAAAACUCUGGCCAUUAAUCUUUUGACCUCCUCCAUACACCCUUGCCAAUGCAAAUAUAAUCAUCCAAUCAUACCCAAAAAUCAUGGUAAAGUGUGUCUCAGUACUGAAGGGGUUAAGGUAUUUUUACAGAUCUAGAGGCAGAGUGACAAGUUUUCUGCAAUAUUAAGUUGAGAAACAAUCUUGAAAACCCCGCUAAUCAUCUCUGUGGCCUUGGAAAAUAGUCGUGGUGAGACAGCAAAACACUUUUAAAUGUAGACCUUUGUCUCACCGACUGUGUGGGACUGCUGACCUGGUACACAAAGAGAUGGUACAGAUUACAAUCAUAAUGCCUUUAAUUUCAUCACCAGUAAUUAAAACUUAUCUGGAAGUAAUGAGGUACUGGGUGACAUAGUGAGAAUCGGAUAAUUUUCCUGUCAAGAAGCCAUGUACAUUUUGAAAGAAACUAGAAUAAUAUGCUGGAUCUAAUCUUAAUCUCAGUGACAACACACCCUAAUAUCCUGAUUGAGAGGUGGAUGUCUGCCCUGUCACCCCAUCACCUACCCUAUCACGUGACCAAUGAACCGCUAGUUACAUCUGCCUUUGACUGACGUGAACAUUACUACUGGGCAGAUAAGGUGAUAACGCUCUGUGCCAUGUAACUACCUCACCACAAUCUGCUGGCUGAGAUAAGAGUGGCGCAGACACAAGAUAUGAGUGUAACAAGGAGAAAGAGAGUAGGUAAUAGCUUUUACUGUGGAGCAAAUGUGUGUUUUGGUAUCAAGUAUUAAUAUGCUGAGCUUUUCACACCUAAUACAGAGAGAGAGAGAGAGAGAGAGAGAGAGAGAGAGAGAGAGAGAGAGAGA
rnacentral:lncRNA from 1 species